rnacentral:rRNA from 1 species
UACGUAGGGUGCAAGCGUUGUCCGGAAUUAUUGGGCGUAAAGAGCUCGUAGGCGGUCUGUCGCGUCUGCUGUGAAAACUCAGGGCUUAACCCUGAGCUUGCAGUGGGUACGGGCAGACUAGAGUGCGGUAGGGGAGACUGGAAUUCCUGGUGUAGUGGUGAAAUGCGCAGAUAUCAGGAGGAACACCGGUGGCGAAGGCGGGUCUCUGGGCCGAUACUGACGCUGAGGAGCGAAAGCGUGGGGAGCAAACAGG